rnacentral:rRNA from 1 species
CAAGUCGAGCGGACACUUCGGUGUUAGCGGCGGACGGGUGAGUAACACGUGAAUAAUCUGCCCAUUAGUCAUGGAUAACAAUCGGAAACGAUUGCUAAAACAAGAUACAAACAAGAGAUGCAUGUCUUUUGUUGGAAAAGUGAUGCUAAUGGAUGAGUUCGCGGUGCAUUAGUUAGUUGGUGAGGUAAAGGCUCACCAAGACGAUGAUGCAUAGCCGACCUGAGAGGGUGAACGGCCACACUGGAACUGAGACACGGUCCAGACUCCUACGGGAGGCAGCAGUAGGGAAUCUUCCACAAUGGACGGAAGUCUGAUGGAGCAACGCCGCGUGAGUGAAGAAGGUCUUCGGAUUGUAAAGCUCUGUUGCCAGGGAAGAAGAGACAGAAUGCGUUCUGUUGUGACGGUACCUGAGAAGAAAGCCCCGGCUAACUACGUGCCAGCAGCCGCGGUAAUACGUAGGGGGCAAGCGUUGUCCGGAAUUAUUGGGCGUAAAGCGCGUGCAGGCGGUUUUAUAAGCGAGACGUAUAAGUGCAGGGCUCAACCUUGUGAGGCGUUUCGAACUGUAAGACUUGAGUGCGAGAGAGGAAAGUGGAAUUCCACGUGUAGCGGUGAAAUGCGUAGAGAUGUGGAGGAACACCAGUGGCGAAAGCGACUUUCUGGCUCGUAACUGACGCUGAGGCGCGAAAGCGUGGGGAGCAAACAGGAUUAGAUACCCUGGUAGUCCACGCCGUAAACGAUGGAUGCUAGGUGUUUGGGGGGUCCACCCCUAGGUGCCGAAGUUAACACAUUAAGCAUCCCGCCUGGGGAGUACGCUCGCAAGAGUGAAACUCAAAGGAAUUGACGG